UUCCGGUUGAUCCUGCCGGACCUGACUGCUAUCGGAUUGAUACUAAGCCAUGCGAGUCAUUGUAGCAAUACAAGGCAUACGGCUCAGUAACGCGUAGUCAACCUAACCUAUGGACGGGAAUAACCUCGGGAAACUGAGAAUAAUGCCCGAUAGAACAUUAUGCCUGGAAUGGUUUAUGUUCCAAAUGAUUUAUCGCCGUAGGAUGGGACUGCGGCCUAUCAGUUUGUUGGUGAGGUAAUGGCCCACCAAGACUAUUACAGGUACGGGCUCUGAGAGGAGUAGCCCGGAGAUGGGUACUGAGACACGGACCCAGGCCCUAUGGGGCGCAGCAGGCGAGAAAACUUUGCAAUGUGCGAAAGCACGACAAGGUUAAUCCGAGUGGUUUCUGCUAAAGGAACCUUUUGUCAGUCCUAGAAACACUGAUGAAUAAGGGGUGGGCAAGUUCUGGUGUCAGCCGCCGCGGUAAAACCAGCACCUCAAGUGGUCAGGAUGAUUAUUGGGCCUAAAGCAUCCGUAGCCGGCUCUGUAAGUUUUCGGUUAAAUCUGUACGCUCAACGUACAGGCUGCCGGGAAUACUGCAAAGCUAGGGAGUGGGAGAGGUAGACGGUACUCGGUAGGAAGGGGUAAAAUCCUUUGAUCUAUUGAUGACCACCUGUGGCGAAGGCGGUCUACCAGAACACGUCCGACGGUGAGGGAUGAAAGCUGGGGGAGCAAACCGGAUUAGAUACCCGGGUAGUCCCAGCUGUAAACCAUGCAAACUCAGUGAUGCAUUGGCUUGUGGCCAAUGCAGUGCUGCAGGGAAGCCGUUAAGUUUGCCGCCUGGGAAGUACGUACGCAAGUAUGAAACUUAAAGGAAUUGGCGGGGGA
rnacentral:rRNA from 2 species